UUCGGCUGCCAGCAGAAACACACGCGGCCGCGGCGCUGCGUCCCGCACGCUGCCGUCAACACGCCCACGCGCUGCUCGCCGCUGUCAGGCACGUCCCCUCGGCUCCUGCCGGCACAGCCACAGCCGUGCCCCGCUCCCGGGGACCUGGGCUGCCGACCCGGCACUUGCUACUGUGUGACCUCGGGCAAUUGACCUAACCUCUCUGGGCAUCGAUGCCCAUCUGUAGAAUAGGAAUAAUAAUCACCUCUAUAAGGGGAAACUGAGCCAGCUGACCAGCGUCACAUGGCUGGUAGGUGUGGACCUGAAACCACUAGAAACUGGGUGACUCCAGAAUGGAUGGUCCCCCCGCACCACCCCAUGAUUUUCCAGAUGGGGACACAGGCUCGGAGACAGGCAGAGGAAGAGACAGCAGGGUGAGGCAAGUUACUUAAAAUGAGGGCAGAGGUUGCGCUCUUUUCUGCUUCCUGACAUAAUGAGAGGCACCCGUGGGAAAAGAAGCUUAGACAUCUGACCCCAAGCCCUUUGCCGGCCGCUCUUCCUGCCUCUCUGCUGGCCCAGUUGGUCUGAAUUGUGUUGUUCCAGGUCUCAUGAGAGCUGCUGUGAGACAGACAGCAUGCAAGUGGACAAGAGGAUUUCUGCUCACACUGACUUGCACCUGACCCUUCUUGACUCCUGGGUACCCCAAGGGCAGUAAAAGGCUGCUCUGUGUGCCACAGCCAAGACUGCACCCCCAAACGAGAAGAAAGCCAGCAAGGCCCAGCCUUGCACUAGGCCAGACUUUGUGUCACAUUUUAUCUCUGCUGAUAGCCCAAAGCCACCUGCAGCAAUGUCACCUGGCAGGUGGAGAUAGGCUGCCUGGGGUCAGUCCUGCCAUCAUCAUUGUCCUUUCCAGCUCUGCUUUCACCUGCACCAAGUGGACAUACUCAGGCACCUGAGGAGCGGCUGCCAUUUGUCCGGGUCACUUGCUGACACUCAUGGCGUCUUGACUGGAUGCUGAGGACGAAGCAUCCGGCUCUGCUUCAGAGCACCAAGCUGCAGACCCACAAGCAGCUCCUCUAGCACAAGGGCAGAAUCAGAGAAGAGGUCCAGGGCAAUCUUUCAGAAAGGUUUUGUAUGUAUAAAUGUCUGUAUCCUACCCCUGGGGGGGUAAUUAGAUUGAUAUAUACUCUGUU